CUUAAGCAUAUCAAUAAGCGGAGGAAAAGAAACCAACAGGGAUUGCCCUAGUAACGGCGAGUGAAGCGGCAACAGCUCAAAUUUGAAAUCUGGCGCAAGCCCGAAUUGUAAUUUGUAGAGGAUGCUUCUGGGCAGCGGCCGUUCUAAGUACCUUGGAACAGGACGUCAUAGAGGGUGAGAAUCCCGUAUGUGACCGGCGCGCACCCUCCACGUAGCUCCUUCGACGAGUCGAGUUGUUUGGGAAUGCAGCUCUAAAUGGGAGGUAAAUUUCUUCUAAAGCUAAAUACCGGCCAGAGACCGAUAGCGCACAAGUAGAGUGAUCGAAAGAUGAAAAGCACUUUGGAAAGAGAGUUAAAAAGCACGUGAAAUUGUUGAAAGGGAAGCGCUUACAACCAGACUUCGUGGCGGUGUUCCGCCGGUCUUCUGACCGGUUCAUUCGCCGCCGCGAGGCCAGCAUCAUCUGGGGCCGCUGGAUAAGACCUUGGGAAUGUGGCUCCUCGGAGUGUUAUAGCCCAUGGUGAUGCAGCGUGCCCCGGGUGAGGUCCGCGCUUCGGCAAGGAUGCUGGCGUAAUGGUUGUCAGCGGCCCGUCUUGAAACACGGACCAAGGAGUCUAACAUCUAUGCGAGUGUUCGGGUGUCAAACCCCUACGCGUAAUGAAAGUGAACGGAGGUGGGAACUUUUGUGCACCAUCGACCGAUCCUGAUGUCCUCGGAUGGAUUUGAGUAAGAGCAUAGCUGUUGGGACCCGAAAGAUGGUGAACUAUGCCUGAAUAGGGUGAAGCCAGAGGAAACUCUGGUGGAGGCUCGCAGCGGUUCUGACGUGCAAAUCGAUCGUCAAAUUUGGGUAUAGGGGCGAAAGACUAAUCGAACCAUCUAGUAGCUGGUUCCUGCCGAAGUU
rnacentral:rRNA from 1 species